GCAAGUCGAGCGAGAAGCCAUCUUCGGGUGAUGGCGACGGCGAACGGGUGAGUACCGCGUAGGUAUCUACCUAGUAGUGGGGAAUAACCAUUGGAAACGAUGGCUAAAACCGCAUACGCCCUGAGGGGGAAAACUGAGGUGCUAUUAGAGGAGCCUGCGUUAGAUUAGCUAGUUGGUGAGGUAAUGGCUCACCAAGGCGACGAUCUAUAGCUGGUUUGAGAGGAUGAUC
rnacentral:rRNA from 1 species